rnacentral:rRNA from 1 species
UACGAAGGGUGCAAACGUUGCUCGGAAUUAUUGGGCGUAAAGCGCACGUAGGCGGCUUAGCAAGUCGGAUGGUGAAAUCCCUCGGCUCAACCAAGGAAGUGCAUCCGAAACUGCUGAGCUUGAGUACGAAAGAGGAGUCGCGGAAUUCCCGGUGUAGAGGUGAAAUUCGUAGAUAUUCGGAAGAACACCAGUGGCGAAGGCGGCUCACUGGUCCGGUACGUGACGCUGAGGUGCGAAAGCGUGGGAGCGAACGAGG